CAGUCGUGCCGGCAGCUGCCCGCUCCGGAGCGGCAGCGGCGAGCGCGCCUGCGGCUGGACGCGUUCUAGAACGCUGCGUGGAGGCGGGGUGGGAAUCACGAACCCGGCGUUCUAGAACUCAGCCGGUCCCGAUCCCUCAUCCCGCUGCGAUCUGGAACCCCGCCCGUCCACCGCGUGCCGUGCCGUGGCGUGGCGUGGCGUGGUGUGGCGUGGCGCGGUACCCCCCCCCCCCCCGCCCCGCGGCCGCCGCCCGGCGGGGCCCGCCCGGCUCCGCAGUGUCGGGGGCUGCCCCGUCACCUGAUCAUCGCCGUGCGCGCGCGCGCACCGCCCCCCCCGUCCCCCCCUUACCCCCCCGCCCCGCGAACGCGCGCGGGGGCGGGGGUGCCCGGUAUAUACGGCCCCGCCGCCCCCGCCCCUGCCUGCCUCCUGCAGCAGGGGAUGCUGCGAGCCGCCGCCGCCGCCGCGCCGGGGCUGCCACGGGGUCUUCAGCAUGGUUGGCACUGCCACAGCUGCCUUCCUGUCUGCGGCUCAGUGCAACAUUGUGCUCAGCAGGAAGGCUCCACAUCUGCCCAUGGCUUUCGCCCCUGGACAGCAUCACUUGCUGGAUUAUGGAGACUGUCAUUUAUCAUCACUGUCUCCGACUGCAAAAGACAGCCCAGUGCUCCUGACAAAACGAUGGGAGAAUUGGCAGGUACAACUACUACACUGAAAGAGUCACCUCCCAGUGGAUAAACACAAGCUCACCAUUAGCAUCCCUUAGAAAGGAUUGAUCAGCCCGGUCUAAAGCUGUUCCCUGGAGGCUGUGCCCUCUCCCACGGCUCAGCGAGCAGGUUGCUGGCAAGAAGUGAAAUCCUUGCGAAAUCCUUAUGAACUUGUUUGUAGACAAGCAAGAGGGAUUGAACGUACAAAGCAAUGAAAAGAAGAUAUGACCAAUACACAUCUCCUCUCUUCCCAUUUGAAGUAAAUUCUUUUAAGUUCAGGAUCAGGAAUUUGGACACUUAGUUAUUUUGUGUGUCUGUAUAAACAUGUAUAUUUUCAUAUCUUCUAAAGAUGUCUUUUUCUUUUUUUUCUGGGAGGAAGAGAAAUCUACUUGCAAAUUUACAUCUUGUGACAUUUCCUUACAACUGCACGCUGGCGUAUGUACUGCUAGGGGCCAGCCCAUCAUUUCUUGGUAAAAAGAACCUUUCAGCUCGGUUACCUCCUGUAGAGAGCUAAUUUUCCAGCAGUCAGGCUUGAUCUGGAUAAAUAAUUAGAGAGCGCGCGAGAGAGAUGAAGAUGAUCACAUCAGCGCUGUCUGUAAUUCAGUUAAUACAGCCAGACCCUGUGAUUUCGCGUCUGCAGCGUUACUUGCGUGGUCUCAAAAGCCGCAGAGGCGAGCAAGCAACAAAGCCAAUCGGUUACAUUUGUCUUGGAAGAAUUAGCGGCACUUUUCAUUCAUUUGUCGAAAGGCAGCAAACAGCUGCAGCAUGCAUCUGCAGCACGAGAAGGUGAUUCUUGACACGUCCGCUCUCCCCACCCCCUGUAUGCAAAAAUUUCAUCGUGCAAUCAAUGCUGGGGUAUUGCCAUCCUUAAGGACAGCUUUUUUUUUUUUUUAAUUUGCAGUUUGAGAUGUUGUGGUGGUUUUAUAUUUGAGUUAAAAUCUAUAUCUUGUAUAGCGGAGUGAAAGCUGACUAGGUGAAGCCUACCAUUUUGGCAUUGCUUGGGUUUUUUUGUGGGGGGGGGGGGGGUUUAAGAAGCUAGUCAAAAUUAUCUGACAGAAAUACUAAACUGCAGAGAAGAUAUGCCUGGUCCUUUGAGUAAGCGCUAGCAUUUCACAUGACUCUUAACGUCAGUGGAAGUGAUAUAGUUAAAGCCAACUACAUUCUCGUACAGUUUUUGAGGAUACAUUUGCUAUUCAUGCAAAUUUGUUCCUCCUGCGUACAGUGCUAUAAAGGGGUUAAAAAUACAUCUUUAGUUCACUUUAUUCCCAGUGGUAGCUCUGUUGCAUUUAUACAUGGAUCAGAUUAAAACAGGUCAAUAUCUUUUGUGGAAGGUCUUUUGACACUUUGGUGCAUGACUGCAGUACACCUACCUUGAGGAUGAAUGGACCCGGAGGAAAUCCAUGCAUUAACAAGAACACAGCCUAGGGAUACUUUAGGAUCACAUUCCUUUAUUCAUCAACUAAAUCAAAGGCUUGACAGAGGAUACUUUGUCAUCGAGUCAGUCUAAAUAACACUUUUUGGGGUGACAGAUAACUUCCGCUGAAGAAAUAAAACCAUGUAUGUUGUUAGGCAAGAAAUAUCCAAAUGGUGUGGGUUUAUUCUGUUCUUUACACUGCAUCACUUGCAUUAAAAUAUGUAUGUAUAUGGUCUAUCUGAAAUUUUGCAGAACCUUAUUAAAAAAAAAAAAUAAUGUAUUCAGGAAUUGCCUUAUGGCAGGAAGUCUUUGUCUGCCUGUUUGCUUUAUUGCAGUUGUUUACCGCCUUGAAUUGAUUUUUGGCUACCAAAUCAGUAUAUUGAGGAUGGCUGGGGAAGGCAGGGUGUUGGGGGGGUGCAGUUCUGCAGUUAGCAGGACCAAGGAGCUGUUUGCUGCCUCAUGGUGUGUUGGGUUUUUUUUUUUGCACCCCCCCUUUUUUUUCUAACUUGGAAUUUCCAUAUUAUAAAGAGGAAGAGGCUUCUUUUCGAUAUAAUGGAGCCAUUAACAUCUAUUAAUAAUGCAGACAGGGUAAGUAGCUGGAGUUGGAGCUCCCUGGGGGCCUCGUAAAACAGAUGUGCACUAUAUCUUCCCGGAUUUGAUAGCUACUGGGGUCGAGGGGGUCGCUGUGGUUCCCGUUUAUUUCCUCUGGCAGCGGUUUUCUAAUUUAAGCACCUCUGUCUCCUGGCUACAGUUGCCUGCUGUGAUGCGGAGGGGGUGUUCGCGCAUUGUCAUGCCUGCUGCCGGAAAAAAAGGGGGUGCGAGCAGCGUCCCCCCGCCUCGGCGCUGCCUGCUGGCAUGCUCGCUUUCGCCGUCGUCUUCCCAGAUGCCUUUUCUGUUCAAGGUGGUGGUGGAGCUGGGCUCUUUUGUUGAAUUUUCUUUUUUUCUUUUUUUUUUUGUUUUGUUAUUUUCUUUUUCCUUUUUAUUUUUUUUUUCUCAAAAGAAAUUAAGGUAAGCAUUUCCUUCUCCUUGCAGCUGCGGAUUUUCUUUUAUUUUUCUUUUUUUUUUGCAUGGAAAGAAAGAACUAUUUCAGCUUGCAAGAGCAUGUAGUGUAUCGCUUGAGGUGAGGUCUAGCCCCUGGUGGGAAAUGUAGUGGCCGUAUCCACUUUUUCAAGAUUAUGCUUCUCAGUUUUAAUUGAGUAUAUUCAUGGUGCUGCCUCUGAAUAGAUAGCGCUGCAUGUUCUUUCUAUAGCUGCCUGCAUUUAACUCGGAGAGGGUGAGGUAUAUCAGAAGGACUUAAAAUUUUUUAUGCUGUUUCUUUAAUUGCAGAUUACUCUGCAGAAGUAGUGGUAAAAUAUCAGUGGUCAUAGUGUAUGGCAAAAAGUCUUUAUAACCAGUACUAUAUCAGAUGUAUUUGCAUCACGCAGGUUUCAUAUUGCCUUCAGUCAAAUAUGAGAUGUGAAUGUCUGUCCUUGUGCGCACUUCUAUUGCAAUGUUGUCUUGCUGUAUGCGUUUAAAUGUAGAGGUAUGCGCUUCUGCUGGCUUGUCACAGAUAUGAGGAGGGAGAAAAAUCCUGGUAUCAGGUCAGAUCCUUUUCAGCUGCUUCCAUCAGCUGUGUAUUACAGCUAGAAGUUUAGAACGUGCAGAAAGGUAAUGUAACUCCUUGGAAAGGAACAGACAGGACAGUUAUUUCUCUAUCUCUUUAUUCUUCCAUUACUGUGUAUGCAAAUGGCCAUUAGUCUCUCACUGUGAGGAAUACUGUAUUAUACAGGGAAGCGUAAUUUCUGCUGUAUAUCCUACAGUAAUACCCUCAGCUGAGAAUCAGGUUGCAUAUGUCUUCUCAGAAAUAUAAAGAUACAUCAGGUAGAAGGAAACGACAGAGGCAUGAGCAGGGUUUUUUUGGAAGUGCUGCGCAAUAUGGGGUUUCAGCAGGCAGCUGGCAGAAUAGGGUGGAGGGACCUUAGUCUUCCCACAAAUUCAUUGAAAACUUAAAAUAAAACUGGUUCUGGCUUACCACGCGCUUAGAAACCCUUACUGUACUGCCUUCUUCUGUCUAUAUAUGAGACAGUGCAUAUUAGCUUGCCUGUCCCUGUGAAUGCACGCUGAUAUACCAAGUGCUUCACUUAGAAUGGGACUGUGUGAUUGCUACCAGACCUGUAUUAAACUGGGGUGUGAAUGCACAUGUUAAUAAAUUGACUACCUGGCAUAUUUUAAAAGAGUAAAUAUUUAUAACAUUAGUUCCUCAAAUGUUUUCUCUCUCUAAUAGUGUCCAAAUCCAAAAGACUGAAAUUAAAUAAUAAUAAAAAAUGUAUGUAAAACUUGCAAGAAAAAAAGGCUUAAAAGCAAAACUAUGCUUUUAUGUAAAACUUUGUUAUUUUUCUUUUUUAUUAGAACCAGGCUAUACUCUUUUAAUAUCUAGAUUGUUCCUCUUAACUUUCUGAUGGAAUUCCAGUGUAAUAGUAAUAUCUGUUAGACUUCAGAUAUAAAUGCACAGAUUUUAUCAAAACAUCUAAAUUAAGUAAUUAGUGUGUGUAACAUUAAAACUAAUACAUCUGCAAAUAACUUUUUAAAUAGGGUAAUUUUUCUUGGGAAAACUUUCUGCCUGUUACUUCUGGUUAUUUUGUUUGCUGAAGAACACAGGGCAUUUGCCCCCUCAUCAUAGAAGAGGUCAAUAAGACUCAUAACUGACAUGUUCAAAAGGACAAUAAAAUACUGUGGUUUUAAUCAGAUACUUGAGUCAAUGCUUUUUAUUGAUAUUUUGUUAACUUACGGUCUGUUUGGUAAACUCUUGUUAUGUAUUUGUAUCAUUCAGCCCUUUCUUUAUGAAAUCAUUGCAUGAAGCUACACCUGCUGUUAGUGCCUAAUGAUUCCUUUUCUUCUGGCUCUAUAAAAUAAUCCCUUCAGAAUUAAUUGAAGACCUAAACAUUAACGAUCAUAAAGAGAGACUGUAAGAUGGAGCUGUACAUUUUGUAAUUUAGCUAUCAUUUGUUAAAACAAAACCAACAAACUUGAAACCAUUUUGUUUUGUGGCUUCAGUUGCUUAUUUGGGCCCCUUUUGGAUUAUCAAUGGGAAAUUUUACAUCUUGGGUGGCUUAAUAUUUAAUAUCUGAUUAUGUUUCAGAUUAUGUAUAUUUCUUUUUUGCACUGGUAAGGGUUUCUCUGCGAAAUGAGGACAGACUGUGGAUUUUUGUGGUGUUGGUGUGUAUUUUAGUGUACAUUUUCCACUUAUUUUCCUCUGAGGGGAAAAUACACACACAAAUACAACCUGUAAUAGGAAACAGUAAUUUUAAUGACUUGUAUACUGUGAUUGUCCUCUGGAUGAUCAAAACCUUUUUAUUUAAGGUAGGAUAACAAACAAAGCUGGAAGCAAAAUUGUCCACUUAGGGAACUUAGCUGCAUAUAAAAAUACAUUGCUAGAAGCCAAGCUUCCGCAUUCUUUGGGAAACAAAGGAAAGAUCCUCUUUCCUUUGUUAAUGGUAUUUAUCAUCUUUAACUCAUUAGUUGCUGAAGGCAGAGAUGAAAUGUUGGAGGGGUUAGAGAUGAUCCAUUGAUAAAAUUCACAUAGGUUCUUUGAGGAAUGCCUGUGUGCUGGUGUUUUGCAGAUGAAAUACACGCAAAAACACAUAAGCUGCAGGCAUUGCUCCUCUUUAAUGCUCCUUAAAGAACGCUGAAUUUUUAUUGUGUUGAUGUGUGUGCUUAAUGCCCUCUAAAUAAAGAAGAACAAUUGCAGGAUUCCUUUUUAUCUGAACUUUGGGUGCGCCCUUGUGCAAAAUGGAAAUGCUUUGUGAGGUGUUGAUGAGAAGGGAACAAAGUAGAAAGUAAUGUGAGGCUGCUUUACGUGACAAGCUGUGAUUUGGACUAUUCUGAAAAUAUAUCAUUGUCAUUUUGGCUGAGCAGUCUUAAUUUUUUUGAAUAGUUAACCUUUUUUAAGUGAUUGCAAAGAAGGAUCAGUUAUGGGUUAAUAUAGAGCAGUAUACAAAAAUACAUGUUUUUCUUUUCAAGUUAUCUCCUUUUUGUGUUGAGGGAAAGGAUAUGUCCAAAAGGCGAGGAGUAUUUUUUCCUUUAGGUAGGUGUAGCACUUUUGCAUGCUUUUUCCAAGUCCAGUAAGUUCUCCUUUAAUUGAAUUUUAAAGAACAGUGUUUCAGUGGAUGCCUCACUACAUUGCAUCUUGCUUACAUGGGGCUUACAAAUCCAUAAAUAAUUUGCACAAAUUAUUUUUUGUUUAUUUCCUUUAAAUCAUAUAUAUAUGUUUCUUGAAAUCUAUGUUAAAGGGAAAAAAUUCUUCCUUCUAGUGGCUCUUCUAUGUUUUUGUGUGAGAUCUUUCAAACCUUUAAGCAGGAUCCUUACUUGUGAUAACCUCCAGCAUGUUGGUGUGAGGGGAGGAGCAGAGAUCUAACAGCUCACACUCCAGACACCCACGCUGAUUGCCAUAGAGGAAACUGGGUACAGCAGCAAAACUGAAUAGUAAAUAUAGAGUAAGAAAUUGUGAAAAUGUGGCAAGUUAUAAUUACAAAGAGAGGACCUACAUCGAGCUGAAUACUUUUUUCUGUACAUGACACAAGUGAGAUUAUUUGCAGGGGGAGAAUCCUCAAAUUUACUUAUUGUAUUUACUUUUUAUAAAUGUAUGUUGCUGUGUCUCCUGAUUUCUGAUUGACUGACCUAAAAAGGGGGGCUCAUUCUUCUCUGGAUUGUGACUCUGGCUUCCUACUUUUAAGAGUCAGGACUGAGUACAAAAAGAUGUAGCACUGGUGGUGAAAGCUGAAGAGCAGCAGUGAUUCUCUGUGGAUAUACUUUUCCCCAUCUUUUGUUCAAGUCAGAUAUACACAGCUGUACAUGUAUUUCUCUCUGACUUUACAUAUGUGGCAGAGGGGCUGUGAAUGCACUUUGGAGUCUUCAGGGAUUCAACACACAGGUACCAAGGAUGUGCAGGGAUGCGCUUGCAGAGAGCCCUUUUGAAUUUCCACAUGUGGGAGUUGGAAUUACUUCUCCCAGAAUCUUCCAUCAGGGAGAAGAUUAUUUGGAUUGCAGAAAUAUAUAAAUUGGUUAUUCAUCCAGUGUGCCUGGAAAGACAGGAGGCUGCAUUUGUGUACAGAAUAGGAGAUGACUACUGAUUAAUUAUGCUAUAAACCACACAUAGCUUAUAAACAUGCACGUGAUAAAUGCCUGUAUCAUACACCCUUUUCCAAUGUAUCCAGGGACAACUCAUUAAUUUGUCUACCUGAGGACUGCUGCAAAUAUUCCAAACACCCACCCCUUUUAAAAUAAAACAAAAUAAAAUAAAUAAAACCUGCCAACAUGGUGGGAUUUUUUUCUUUCUCAUUGCUGAAAUGGUGAAUUUCCCCCUCUGCAGAUCAUACCUAUUUGUUGCUUAUGAGAUGCUGGAAAGUGAUUGGCAGGUCAUGAGCAGCCUGGACUGAAGGAGGGGGGCGAUGGGGACCCCCAGGCUGGCUGUGGGGCACAGCCUUUACGUCUGUGGGAGAAAUGAGCCCUGGGCUGUGCAUGGGAAAGGGCUGGGGGGACAGUGCUUUGGGUAGAGCCCCUUGUCUCCAUCCCUUGCAAAGCCUCUGCUCUUGGUGCUCAGGUGGGAAGGGGAGUACUGCUUUUGAGGGUUGAAGGAGUUAAGAAAACAUGACUUGGUACCAAUUUGCCUACAUUUACUAAAUUGCAUUUUAUUAAAUGCAAAGUCACUUUCCUGACACUGUAGCUCCUUUGCUCUGACCUUCCUUCAAGGGCACCUGUUAUGCCAAAGCUAUGACUUUCUUCCUUGAGGAAAUAACAUUGCUGUCCCUCCCUCCUGCCUAUUUUUUUUAUGCCCCAGCACUUAAUUUCUCUGAGACUCAACGUAUCUUCUUUGUGUGUUUCGACCACGAACACCGCAUAGGGAGAUUAAACUGCUGUGCAUGACAAUUAUGUGUACAUGAAACUCCUCAUUAGCCUCCGUACUAAAGAAAGGAGAAAAUAGAUGUCACAGAAAAAAAUUCUGCCCAGUCUUGCUUCUGCAGCAGACGAGUGGGAGUGCUGAAGUGCCUCUUCUGAUUGCGGAGCAGCUGUGCGUAGGUUUUUGGGCAAACCUCAUCUCCAGUGCUAGAUGAUCAAGGACCGCAACAUGCAAUUAGGUGGUCCUGGUUGCAUGGCCAAACCAGAAGCUGGGGUACCUCUCGGGUGAAGGUGGUGUCUCUGAGCCUGAGCAUCUCCAUGCAUCUGCAUUGCUUCAUCCACAACCCUGUGUUACCUCCAAAACAAAGCAGCACAGCCCCAUCCUUUGUGAGACCACGGCCCCCAGAAGAGGGGCUGGAAGUACUCGGUGCUUGGUGAGAGAGGGUUCGGGUCUUGUAUUCAUGUUGAGUCACUGCCCAAAGACGUGCCAAAAGCCUACUGCAACUGGCAAGCUGACACAUCACUUUCUGCUUGAACAGCAGAAAGGCUUUUCCUCCAAGUCUUGCAGGCUCCUUGCUCUGUUGGAGUUGAACUUUGAACCAUUUUAAAUUCAUAAAACAUCUAGGAAUAUGCAGAUUUUCAUAUCCUAAGUCAAAUUCAAGAGCCUAUUAAAUACUAUAAGUAUGCUAUAAUUGGCUUGAUUAGGCUAAUAUUGACUCCAAGUGACACUUCAGUGACAUCAACUGUGACAACGGAAGUGACAUUUCUUAUUUUUAGGGAGGAUGUUGAUCAUGGCUUUUUCAAUUGUCACUGUGGCAUAAUGCUCAUAGACCAACAUAUUUCUGGCAAGCGUGACGUGUCCCUUCUCUCCAUUUGCAGGGGUGUGGAUGAUCAGACUUGCUGUUCUCAGUAGGGUUCCUGUGCUGACAAAAUGCAGCAAUGGCAUUUCUGUCAACAGAAGCUCAUGGAUUUUCAACCUAUUCAGAAUUAGAAUAUCAUGAGAAGCCAUUCUUGAUUAGAUAGCAGUAAGGUUUACCAAGACAAAGGAGGACUGACAAUGUAAAUGGUAACGUCUAUGAAGCAGUGGCUUCAGUGGUUCAAGCGUAUGAUAUAAAAGCAUCAGCAGUGCAGCAUCCUUUCUUUCUUCUCCUCAGCAGCAGACUACAUAUUUUCAAUUCUUCUAUAACUUUCAAAGGAUACGAAUUUCUAGUACUUGGCAUCCAGAGAGGAGCAGUUCUUGCUACCGUCUAUAUACCUGGUCCUGCAUAGCCUGCUGACUGUCAGGCUGAUACUAGAUGUAAAUAGUGAUCUUUCCUGCAAAGUUCUUGCCAAGCAUUUGCUGAGCCCUGCUUUCGAUUUUGAAGGUUGUGUGAGCCUCAGUAAUAUAAGCCCAUAGUGUUCUUUGAGCUUAUGUCCUGGUAGGCUUCAUUCCCAACAGUCUAUGAAGGCAGUCUCUGAAACUGUCCUCUAAUCAGCAGCCAAUGGCUGUAGGCAGUCCUUUUAUUGAGGGGAAAAUUACAUAGUUUUGGUGAAACUUGUUCUCUCUUUUUUCACCUACAUUUAUAAUUGUGCAGAAGAUAGAUGCAGAAUUAUUUUAAUCAUGAGAGUUGAACAACCAGCUUAUAAUCUUGGUAGAUCACCAUGACUGGGGUACCUCUCCCCAAAAGAUUCAAUGCAGGAUUUCUGGUUUGUCAUGCAGGAAGUGCAACACAGAUUGUAGCUAAGCAGAUGGGCUACUGUCAUUGUCUUUUCCAAUUGACUAGGAAUAGCCAUAUCUGCUGUUUUAUUAUUCUGUUUUCACCUGCUAAGUCUUCAUUUUGAAGGCCCUGGAGAUACAGGAUUGUACUUUCUCAGUCUGUUCCCUGGGUAAUGGAGCUUUGGUUACUUUGGCCAAUAAAUUCUGCUGUGAUAUAUAUCAUAAGUUGGUGAGACUGCAGCCUGGGUAGGAACCUAAUUAAAUUGGCCUGUGCUUCCCAUCUUUCAGUCAUUGAUUGGAUUUUUAACCAAUAUCUUCUAAGUAACUUGAA